AUUGAACGCUGGCGGCAGGCCUAACACAUGCAAGUCGAACGAGUGGCGGACGGGUGAGUAAUGUCUGGGAAACUGCCCGAUGGAGGGGGAUAACUACUGGAAACGGUAGCUAAUACCGCAUACCAUCGGAUGUGCCCAGAUGGGAUUAGCUAGGAGGUGGGGUAAUGGCUCACCGAGGCGACGAUCCCUAGCUGGUCUGAGCGGAUGACCAGCCACACUGUAACUGAGACACGGUCCAGAUGCCUACGUGAGGCAGCAGUGGGGAAUAUUGCACAAUGGGCGCAAGCCUGAUGCAGCCAUGCCGCGUGUAGGAAGAAGGCCUUCGGGUUGGAAAGUACUUUCAGCGGGGAGGCGUUACCCGCAGAAGAAGCACCGGCUAACGCCGUGCCAGCAGCCGCGGUAAUAC
rnacentral:rRNA from 1 species